rnacentral:rRNA from 1 species
AAGUCGAACGCGAAAGCCCCGCAAGGGGUAAGUAGAGUGGCAAACGGGUGAGUAACACGUGGGUGACCUGCCUUCGAGUGGGGGAUAACGUCCCGAAAGGGACGCUAAUACCGCAUGACAUCCUGCGUUUGGAAACGCGGAGAUCAAAGCCGGGGAUCGCAAGACCUGGCGCUUGAAGAGGGGCCCGCGCCUGAUUAGCUAGUUGGUGGGGUAACGGCCUACCAAGGCAACGAUCAGUAUCCGGCCUGAGAGGGCGGACGGACACACUGGGACUGAGACACGGCCCAGACUCCUACGGGAGGCAGCAGUGGGGAAUUGUUCGCAAUGGGCGCAAGCCUGACGACGCAACGCCGCGUGGAGGACGAAGAUCUUCGGGUCGUAAACUCCUGUCGAGCGGGAAGAGCGCUUCCCGGGUGAAUAAUCCGGGGAGGUGACGGUACCGCUAAAGGAAGCCCCGGCUAACUCCGUGCCAGCAGCCGCGGUAAUACGGGGGGGGCAAGCGUUGUUCGGAAUUACUGGGCGUAAAGGGCUCGUAGGCGGCCAACUAAGUCGGAUGUGAAAUCCCCAGGCUCAACUUGGGAACUGCAUCCGAUACUGGAUGGCUUGAAUCCGGGAGAGGGAUGCAGAAUUCCAGGUGUAGCGGUGAAAUGCGUAGAUAUCUGGAGGAAUACCGGUGGCGAAGGCGGCAUCCUGGACCGGCAUUGACGCUGAUGAGCGAAAGCUAGGGGAGCAAACGGGAUUAGAUACCCCGGUAGUCCUAGCCCUAAACGAUGAAUGCUUGGUGUGGCGGGUAUCGAUCCCUGCCGUGCCGAAGCUAACGCAUUAAGCAUUCCGCCUGGGGAGUA